CCUACGGGAGGCAGCAGUGAGGAAUAUUGGUCAAUGGACGAAAGUCUGAACCAGCCAAGCAGCGUGAAGGAUGAAUGCCCUCGGGGUUGUAAGCUUCUUUUAUAGAGGAAUAAAACGAGGCACGUGUGCCUUUUUGCAUGUACUUUAUGAAUAAGGAUCGGCUAACCCCGUGCCAGCAGACGCGGUAAUACGGAGGGUGCGAUCGUUGUCCGGAUUUAUUGGGUUGAAGGGGAGCGUAGGUGGGUUGUUAAGUCAGUGGUGAAAGUUUGCGGCUCAACCGUAAAAUUGCAAUUGAUACUGGCAGGCUAGAGUACAGUUGAGGUAGGCGGAAUUCGUGGUGUAGCGGUGAAAUGCGUAGAUAUCAGGAAGAACCCCGAGUGCGAAGGCAGCUUACUAAACUUGGACUGACAUUGAUGUGCGAAAGUGUGGGUAUCAAACAGGAUUAGAUACCCCAGUAGUC
rnacentral:rRNA from 1 species